rnacentral:sRNA from 1 species
GACUCGCGUAUUAAAAUGUUUCGGUA